AGCAGGCAUCACCACUGCAUUCUACAAGUGAGGACUCUGAGGCUCAGAGGUGGUGAGCCUUAGGCCACCUGUCUCCACUUAGCAGAAGUCAAGCAGCUUAUCUUGUCUUCAGCAUCCCUGAAAGAUGUUCUGGGGGACGCAGGGGAAGAAAAUCUCUGUGGACAAACAGCAAAGAUCCCAGGACCUGUCUUGCUACAGCG